rnacentral:rRNA from 1 species
UACGUAGGUGGCAAGCGUUAUCCGGAUUUAUUGGGCGUAAAGGGAACGCAGGCGGUCUUUUAAGUCCGAUGUGAAAGCCUUCGGCUUAACCGAAGUAGUGCAUUGGAAACUGGGAGACUUGAGUGCAGAAGAGGAGAGUGGAACUCCAUGUGUAGCGGUGAAAUGCGUAGAUAUAUGGAAGAACACCAGUGGCGAAAGCGGCUCUCUGGUCUGUAACUGACGCUGAGGUUCGAAAGCGUGGGUAGCAAACAGG